rnacentral:snoRNA from 1 species
UCGUCAGUGAGGUACAUCCUUACCUGUUACUCCAUCCAUGGAGUUGCAGAACAUGAUGAAUGGAGGUUCAUGAGAUAUGAUUAGUAUCUCCCUCUUGUUGGGAAGAGCAACUCCCAUCAAGACCCAUUCUGAU